AUGCAGGAUCCACUUACAGUGUAGCUGUGAAGUGCUACCCUUUGCCACCUGCUUAAAAUAAAGCUGUUGCCAUUCCAACCCUGUCUGCCCUGUGGCAUAGCAGGAAGGGAGGACUGGCAUCAUACAG
rnacentral:snoRNA from 1 species